CAAUAGCGUAUAUUAAAGUUGUUGCGGUUAAAAGCUCGUAGUUGGAUUUCUGUCGAAAACAGCCGGUCCGCUCUAUGAGCGUGUAUCUGGUUUGGUUUUGGCAUCCUCGAGGGGUACUGCGCUGUGCUUGAUUGCAUGGCCAGGAAUUCUCGACUUUUACUUUGAGGAAAUUAGAGUGUUCACGGCAGGCAAGCGCCUUGAAUACAUUAGCAUGGAAUAAUAAUAUAGGACUUUGGUUUUAUUUUGUUGGUUUCUAGAACUAAAGUAAUGAUUAAUAGGGAUAAUUGGGGGCAUUUGUAUUAACGCGUCAGAGGUGGAAUUCUUGGAUUGCGUUACGACAAACUACUGCGAAAGCAUUUGCCAAGGAUGUUUUCAUUGAUCAAGAACGAAAGUAUGGGGAUCGAAGACGAUCAGAUACCAU
rnacentral:rRNA from 1 species